AAACUAACAAGGAUUCCCCUAGUAACGGCGAGUGAAGCGGGAAAAGCUCAAAUUUGUAAUCUGGCGCCUUCGGCGUCCGAGUUGUAAUCUCGAGAAGUAUUUUCCGCGCUGGACCGCACAUAAGUCUGUUGGAAUACAGCGUCAUAGUGGUGAGAACCCCGUAUAUGGUGCGGAUGCCCAGUGCUUUGUGAUAUACUUUCGAAGAGUCGAGUUGUUUGGGAAUGCAGCUCAAAUUGGGUGGUAAAUUCCAUCUAAAGCUAAAUAUUGGCGAGAGACCGAUAGCGAACAAGUACCGUGAGGGAAAGAUGAAAAGCACUUUGGAAAGAGAGUUAACAGUACGUGAAAUUGUUGGAAGGGAAACGCUUGAAGUCAGACUUGCAUUUUGGAGUUCAGCCGCAAGGUGUAUUCUUCAAUUCGCAGGCCAGCAUCAGUUUUCGGGGGUGGAAAAUCGCGGUUUGAAGGUAGCAGUCUAGGCUGUGUUAUAGCUUUCCGCUGGAUUCACUUUUGGGGACUGAGGAACGCAGUACGCUUUUUGCAAGAUUCUAGAGUCUUUCGUACUUAGGAUGCUGGUGGAAUGGCUUUAAACGAC
rnacentral:rRNA from 1 species